rnacentral:rRNA from 1 species
CCUACGGGAGGCUGCAGUGAGGAAUAUUGGUCAAUGGGCGGGAGCCUGAACCAGCCAAGCCGCGUGAGGGAAGACGGUCCUAUGGAUUGUAAACCUCUUUAGGCGGGGAGCAAUGCCGGGCACGCGUGCCCGGAGGGAGAGUACCCGCAGAAUAAGCAUCGGCUAACUCCGUGCCAGCAGCCGCGGUAAUACGGGGGAUGCGAGCGUUAUCCGGAUUGAUUGGGUUUAAAGGGUGCGUGGGCGGAGUGUUAAGUCAGCGGUAAAAUGUCCGGGCUCAACCCGGGCCGGCCGUUGAAACUGGGGAUCUUGAGUGGGCGAGAGGUAUGCGGAAUGCGAGGUGUAGCGGUGAAAUGCAUAGAUAUCACGAAGAACUCCGAUUGCGAAGGCAGCAUACCGGCGCCCGACUGACGCUGAGGCACGAAAGCGUGGGGAUCGAACAGGAUUAGAUACCCUAGUAGUC